CCUACGGGAGGCAGCAGUGAGGACUAUUGGUCAAUGGACGAGAGUCUGAACCCGCCAAGUAGCGUGAAGGCUGACUGCCCUAUGGGUUGUAAACUUCUUUUAUAUGGGAAUAAAAUGUUCCAAGUGUGGGAUUUUGUAUGUACCAUAUGAAUAAGGAUCGGCUAACUCCGUGCCAGCAGCCGCGGUAAUACGGAGGAUCCGAGCGUUAUCCGGAUUUAUUGGGUUUAAAGGGAGCGUAGGUGGAUUGUUAAGUCAGUUGUGAAAGUUUGCGGAUCAACCGUAAAAUUGCAGUUGAAACUGGCAGUCUUGAGUACAGUAGAGGUGGGCGGAAUUCGUGGUGUAGCGGUGAAAUGCUUAGAUAUCACGAAGAACUCCGAUUGCGAAGGCAGUUCACUGGACUGCAACUGACACUGAGGCUCGAAAGUGUGGGUAUCAAACAGGAUUAGAUACCCGAGUAGUC
rnacentral:rRNA from 1 species